AUUGAACGCUGGCGGCAUGCUUUACACAUGCAAGUCGAACGGUAACAGGCCUUCGGGUGCUGACGAGUGGCGCACGGGUGAGUAAUGCAUCGGAACGUACCCAGAGGUGGGGGAUAACGCAGCGAAAGCUGUGCUAAUACCGCAUGUGAUCUGAGGAUGAAAGCGGGGGACCGAGCAGCAAUGUUUGGCCUCGCGCCUUUGGAGCGGCCGAUGUCGGAUUAGCUAGUUGGUGGGGUAAAGGCCUACCAAGGCGACGAUCCGUAGCUGGUCUGAGAGGACGACCAGCGACACUGGGACUGAGACACGGCCCAGACUCCUACGGGAGGCAGCAGUGGGGAAUUUUGGACAAUGGGCGCAAGCCUGAUCCAGCAAUGCCGCGUGCGGGAAGAAGGCCUUCGGGUUGUAAACCGCUUUUGGCAGGAACGAAACGGUGUCCGCUAAUACCGGGCGCUAAUGACGGUACCUGCAGAAUAAGCACCGGCUAACUACGUG
rnacentral:rRNA from 1 species